UAAUGAUACUGAACACUAAUAGUAACUCUUGAGACAUACACUUUUCAACAAAUAUAAAUAUAAAAAUGGUUUGUUUUCAUGUCUUUUUAAUAUUACUAGUUUUUAAAUCAACUUUUUCUGAAUACUGUUUCAUUAAAUAUGAAUAUUUUUACGACUAAAUAUUUGACGCACAAUUAUUUGAAUGAUUCAUCAGGUAGGAAUAACAAGUAUGAAAAAGCCAGCUCCAAGCCUUAAAAAUUUUUAAACUAAAAUAAUUUUCUAAAAUGAGUACCGCUUUUUCUUAAAACUCUAUAAACUUUGGAAGGUUACUCGAACCAAACUUGGAUAAACAUACGAAAGAAGAGAUCCGUAAAAAUGCAGGAAUCGGAAAAGAACCCUAAUUGUGUA